rnacentral:tRNA from 1 species
GCCCCCAUCGUCUAGCGGCCCAGGACACCGCCCUUUCACGGCGAAGGCACCGGUUCAAAUCCGGUUGGGGGUACCA